GACAGGGUUUCACCAUAUUGGCCAGACUGAUCUCGAACUCCUGACCUCAUGAUUCACCCACCUCGGACUCCCAAAGUGCUGGGAUUACAGGCAUGAACCACCUCACCUGGCCCUUGGGUGCCUUUACUUCUUACCAGAGUAAACCAGCACUUCUUCUCUGUGACAUCACCCCGGGAGAGAGCCCAUUCUCGUCCCCACCAUUGCCAGUCUGCAUCAGGUGGAGAACACAUAAGAAAAACACAAUCUACAUAAUAUGCCAUAGCUACCAUUUAUACAAAAAAAUUUACACAAAAUGACUAAGGAUAUAUAUAUUUGUGUAGGGAGAAGUGCUUGCUGUUUUAUUUUUUUUUAUUUUCAAGCCUGAAAGAUGACACACAGGUCUCAAAACUGUAACUUCUGCUUGAAGUCUGGGGGUGCCGGAGCUGCAAGCAGUUUGGCACACGCUGCAGUAUCAGAAACUAGUGAGCUAAAUCCUUGAUGCAAGUUCUGUUUACACUUAAACAGGCAAAGCUGAUCAGGUGUCUGAAUGAGCAAGAUAUGUUGUGUUCAUUUAAACCACUUGUGUUCGUGAAUCUAAAAAGCCAUGUUUGAAUUUCUAUAACUUCUGUGUGAAUUUCAUGUCUGAAGGUGUCCUUGAAGUCAACUGCCUUGUUCUUCAUAGAAUCAAUCCCUCAUCUCUGUUGGACGUGUAAAGGGAAGAUAAGAUGGGCUCUGAUGCUGGGGAUGGGGAGGAAAGAGAAGCAGUAGAGACAGAGCCUAGGGAGAUGCUUUGGGACCCCAGUAUGCAAAAUAACCACAUGUGAGGGAGGAGGUCGAGUUGCUUAAGAAGCCUGUGGCUUUCUGGGAAAGAGGGAAUUAAACUCUUCCAACCCACCUUCCUAUUAUUCACAGUUAAUUAGUGGCAGAAUAGGGUUUAACAGAACUUUUCAUUUAUUUAUUUUUUGAGAGAUUGACAUUGUCUCACUCUCUAUUGCCCAGGCUGGGUACAGCAGUACAAUCAUAGCUCACUGCAGCCUCAAACUCCUGGGCUCAAACAAUCCUCUUGCCUCAGCUUUCCAAGUAGCUGUGACUACAGGUGUGCACCACCACACCCAGCCUAACAGGACUUCUGAAGCAAGAGAGGGAAGCUAGGUUCCUGUGAGGAUCCUAUUUUUAUUUCAGCAACAGAGGCUGUGCAGGAGCAAGUUCAACAGUGACAUCUUGUGGAGCCAUGAAGCAAGAGCAGUGCUAGACUCCGCCCCUCACACCUCUUAGGAACUGGCGAGAGCCUUGGACUGGCCACUUUAACGGCUCCGUGCCUCCGUUUCUCCCGUUGUUAAUUCGGAAUGACUCACAUUCACUAGCUUCCUGUGUCAUGGAGUUGUUCUGAAAACAACAUUUUAAACAUUAGCCAGCCAGGACGGUUCAGUAAAUGCUGACCCAUCUGUGUCGUGACAUGGUGGGAAGCCAUUUAAAGGAAUGAUUGACAGAUUGACUUGACAUGAUAAUGAAUACAGUUAAAUGAGAAAAGCUGAUAGUCUGGGUUUUUCUGGGUUUUUUUUUUUUUUUUUUGAGAUGGAGUUUCUUUCUUGCUGCCCAAGCUGGAGUGCGAUGGUGUGAUCUCAGCUCUACCUCCUGGGUUCAAGUAAUUCUCCUGCCUCAGCCUCCCAAGGAGCUGGGAUUACAGACAUGUGCCACCACGCCUAGCUAAUUUUAUAAUUUUAGUAGAGAUGGGGUUUCUCCAUGUUGGUCAGGCUGGUUUUGAAUUCCCGAUCUCAGGUGAUCCACCCGCCUUGGCCUCCCAAAGUGCUGGGAUUACAGGUGCGAGCCACCACACCUGGCCUGUUUUUUUUUUUUUUUUUUUUAAGAUAUCUGGAGGUAUAAUUGACAUACCAAAAAAUUGCACAUAUUUAAUGUGUAUAAUUUGAUGAGUUUGGACAUAUGCAUGCAACUGCUGCUAGUCUUACCACAAUCAAGAAUCAAGUAUUACCUUGUAAUCCCAGCACUUGCAGAAGCCAAGGCAGGUGGAUCAUUUGUCAGGAGUUCAAGACCAGUCUGGCUGAAAUGGUGAAACUCCGUCUCUACUAAAAAUACAAAAAUUAGUUGGGUGUGGUGGUGUGUACCCACAGUCCCAGCUAUUCAGGAGGCUGAAGCACGAGAAUUACUUCAACCUGGGAGGCAGACAUUGCAGUGAGCCAAGACUGCACCACUGCACUCCAGCCUGGGUAACAGAGCAAGACUGUCUCAAAAAAAGAAAGAAGGAUCAUCAAGGUAAUAAACAUAUCCAUCACCUCGAAAGCUUUUCGUGU
rnacentral:lncRNA from 13 species